UCUGGGAUAGCUCAGUUGGCAGAGCAUGAGAAUCUCAGGGCCCUGGGUUCAAGCCCCAUGUUGAGAA